AAAACACAAGAAUACACGUUUGUAGAUGGUCGUGAUUUCCACGAAUAUUUUUUGAUUAAAAUUUCCACGAAUAUUAUUGUUGCUUAAAUAGUAAACCUGUGAUUUUUGUCAUUCAUCAUUAAUGAAAUAAUUGAAGAUAAAUAAGUGCCUCUCAAUCUCAUGUGAUCCUUGGCUAUGUGCAUGCCUGGUCGUGAGAAAAAGAAUGAAAACCAGUCAAACAGAGAAGUCUGCUCUCCAACGCAAAUGAAUGCCUGGCUGUGUGUGCUAAUCCAAUUUCCAUUCAAUCCUUUCUUUCUAUUCUAUUUAACUAACACAAAUAAAAAUUCCUAAUCUAGAACUAGAAUGAAUGAGUAAUUAAUUAAUUAGAGAGAGUCACAGAAUCAGAAAGAUUAAUUAAUGGCAUCAUCGGCUUGUACCAAAUCCGUUUUCACCUCCUCUGCAACUGCAAGUUUACAUUGUCCCACUACUCCCACCAGAGGAAGACCCUCUGUCGUUUCAUUCCCCAAACGCAACAUCGUUUUAACCUCCUCAUACAAGCUCUCUCAUUCUCAAUGCGCCGUCAACAAAACGCGCUGCAAAUCCGACGGCGGAGAAGGUAUUUCAAGGCCAAGCAUCUUGGUUUCUGAGAAGCUCGGAGAGGCGGGGCUCCAAGUGCUGCGCGAUGUGGGACAAGUGGAAUGCUCCUACGACCUCUCCCCUCAAGACCUCUGCUCCAAGAUCUCCUCCUUCGACGCCUUGAUUGUCAGGAGCGGCACCAAGGUCACCAGGGAGGUUUUCCAAGGCGCCAAGGGAAGGUUGAAGGUGGUGGGCAGAGCCGGCGUUGGAAUCGACAACGUGGACCUUGAAGCCGCCACCCAAUACGGUUGCCUGGUGGUGAAUGCACCCACCGCGAACACCAUCGCCGCGGCGGAGCACGCAGUGGCUCUUCUGGCUGCCAUGGCGAGGAACAUCCCACGCGCCGACGCGUCCCUCAAAGCAGGGAAGUGGCAGAGGAACAAGUAUGUGGGAGCGUCCAUGGUUGGGAAGACGCUAGCGAUCAUGGGGUUUGGGAAAGUUGGGUCUGAGGUGGCGCGUCGUGCGAAAGGGUUGGGGAUGAACGUGGUUGCGCAUGACCCUUAUGCCCCUGCAGACAGGGCACGCGCCAUUGGCGUUGAUCUUGUGUCGUUUGAUCACGCCAUCUCCGCCGCUGAUUUCAUUUCUCUCCACAUGCCUCUCACUCCCACCACUGAUAAGAUCUUCAAUGAGGAUACUUUUGCCAAGAUGAAGAAAGGUGUUCGCAUUAUCAAUGUUGCGAGAGGCGGAGUUAUUGAUGAAGAUGCGUUGGUGAAAGCGCUUGAUAGUGGACUAGUUGCUCAGGCUGCACUUGAUGUGUUCACCGAGGAGCCUCCAUCGAAAGAUAGUAAAUUAGUGCAGCAUGAGAAUGUGACGGUUACGCCACACCUUGGAGCUAGCACCAAAGAGGCACAAGAAGGUGUAGCAGUUGAAAUAGCAGAAGCUGUGGUUGGAGCAUUGAGAGGGGAACUUUCAGCAACUGCUGUCAAUGCUCCUAUGGUUGCCCCUGAGGUCAUGUCUGAAUUGGCUCCAUAUGUUAUGCUAGCUGAGAAGUUGGGUCGGCUAGCAGUGCAGUUGGUGUCUGGAGGAAGUGGAAUCAAAUCCGUGAAGGUGGUUUAUCGAUCGGCUAGGGGGCCAGAUGACCUUGACACACGACUUCUACGAGCGAUGAUCACAAAAGGGAUAAUUGAACCGAUAUCCAAUAAAAUUGUCAACCUUGUGAAUGCUGAUUUCACUGCCAAGGAGAAGGGGAUUCGCAUAAGUGAGGAAAGAGUAGUUGUUGGUUCAUCCCCUGAGCAACCAAUUGAUUCAAUUCAGAUACAGAUAUCCAAUGUGGAGUCAAAGUUUGCAAGUGCUGUGUCGUCCGAGAGUGGUGAUAUAAGCAUUGAGGGAAGGGUGAAGUAUGGCAUGCCCCACUUGACAUGUGUGGGAUCUUUUGGUGUAGAUGUAAGUUUAGAAGGGAAUGUCAUCUUGUGCCGCCAGGUGGACCAGCCCGGUAUGAUUGGGCACGUUGGGAAUCUAUUGGCUCAACAUAAUGUCAAUGUCAGCUUUAUGAGUGUGGGAAGGACAUCUCCGAGGAAGAUGGCGAUAAUGGCUAUUGGUGUUGAUGAAGAACCAAACAAAGAAGCUCUUCACAACAUUGGAUCUGUGCCUGCUAUCGAAGAGUUUGUCUUUCUCAAACUGUAGCUUCACAGUCACACUUGAACAAUCCCAUUUUUAGACACUCAAACAGGGUUGAGCAGGAGCCAUUCGAGAGAAUCCAUGCGAAUGCAAAUAAGACAAGGAGGAAUCUGCCUUUUUCAGUGUGCCAGGAGUUGACUGGGGAACAAGGUGCAUUCGCGUGUCAGCUCGCGAAUGCCUGACAGGUGCUGACUGAUGGGUGACAUGGUGCAGGCAUGCAGGGGCAUGCAGAGGCAUUCGCCUCCUGCCUUGCGAAUGCAAUGUCGGCCAUUAACUUUUAUAAAAUGACCCCAGAAAUAGCCAAGUUUGCAUGCUCGAAUUCACCUCUCCAACUCUCUCAAUUCUCAACUUUCAAGCUUCAUUUCUAAACUCUCAUGACAUAAGUUUGAUACCUCUCAAGAGAACCUACCCUCAAACUCUCUCAAGUGUAAAAGUAUCUAUAUUGUUGGUUUUGUAAAUGGCGGAUGAAGCAGUGCUAACUCUCGGUCCAAAAAAUCCGACGUUGUUGGUGAAACAAAACAAACAUGUGUCGGGAUAUGUUUGGAACCAAACAAGUAAGAAAGUUUUGAAGCUGAGAUUACCCCACAUUCCUUUGAAUGGGGUCCCUCCACAAAUCGAACAAUAUAUUCGAUUGGCUGGAUUUUACGAGGCCGCUCUAUGUGGUUCUCUCAAACAAGACAAAGUGUUGAUAUCAGCACUGGUGGAGCGUUGGCGGCCCGAGACGCACACCUUUCAUAUGCCGUUUGGAGAGUGCACCAUCACUCUUCAAGAUGUUGCCGUUCAGCUGGGACUAAAUAUUGAUGGACAACCUGUUACCGGGGUGACAUGGUGUGACUGGUCUGAUCUCGUUACUCGUGCGCUAGGAGUCACUCCACCGCGACGUGCCAUUAGAGGAAGUUGUUUAAACUUGAAAUGGUUAAACCAGUGUUUUGAUUUUCAAAACCUAGGUGCACUUGAGUCGGCAGAAGCUGAAUUUGUUGCAAGAGCAUUCAUUUUGCGCUUGAUUGGCACUUUCUUAUUACCCGACCACUCGGGAUCACAUGUGCCUCUAAGAUAUCUACUACUCAUAGAGAAUUUAGCUAUGGCCUCCACAUACAGUUGGGGUUCGGCUGUGCUUGCAACUCUCUAUCAUGAGUUAUGCCAUGCAACCGGUUAUGAACGACAAGAAAUCGAUGGUUGUACUUAUUUGCUCCAAAUCUGGGCUUGGGAAAGGAUUCCAAUGACUGCCCCUGAAACCAUACCAAUAUUGCCACUCGGCUGCCCCCUCGCAGGAAGGUAUGCACGUAAUUUACAAGUAGUUAUAUUUAUUUGUGCACAUAAAUGCGAAAAAAUAAGCCGUUAAUAAAUAC